rnacentral:rRNA from 1 species
UAGGGUUGUAAAGCUCUUUCACCGGUGAAGAUAAUGACGGUAACCGGAGAAGAAGCCCCGGCUAACUUCGUGCCAGCAGCCGCGGUAAUACGAAGGGGGCUAGCGUUGUUCGGAAUUACUGGGCGUAAAGCGCACGUAGGCGGAUCGUUAAGUGAGGGGUGAAAUCCCAGGGCUCAACCCUGGAACUGCCUUUCAUACUGGAGAUCUUGAGUUCGAGAGAGGUGAGUGGAAUUCCGAGUGUAGAGGUGAAAUUCGUAGAUAUUCGGAGGAACACCAGUGGCGAAGGCGGCUCACUGGCUCGAUACUGAC